CCUCUGCCUCCCAAGUGCUGGGAUUAAAGGUGUGCGCCACCACUGCUCGGCUUGGCUCUUUUCUUUUUAAAUAGCCCAUCAAUUCCUUUUUUUUUUUUUUUUCCCCAUAUGCUCCUUGAUAUGGGGCCCUCCCCAGCAACAUGGUGGACCUACCAGGACCCACACCCUUAAAGGAAACUGAGUCUCUCCUCCCUGGAAACCAUCAUCUGUCCAUGGCUCCUCAGCCACACAUCAGGGCUCAUGAACCCCUUCCAUUCCGUGUUAGAAUGGGGACUAGCUUGAUCCUCUGUGAAUCUGAGUGCAGUGGCCAUGUCAUGUCCACAAGAUGCUAUGUACCCUCCUCCACAGUGGACCCUGAACUUGUGGAAUUAUUGGUUCUUAAACUGUAUUUCCAUAGGUAGAGAUGAAGUGCUUGGAGUACUCCAAGUACAGAAUGGGGAGAACAAAAACGAUCGUCCUUCAGUUAGGACUGUUUUUAUUUCUUCAAACAUGUUUUAAAGCCAUUUUAUACCAUUAGAACAGCAACUCAGUCUAGGGAAGAACAAUUCAUUUUUGGUGGUUGGUUUUGCCUAAGUGAUAUGUGAAUACUUAUGUU
rnacentral:lncRNA from 1 species